AUGCUAAGCUCAAAAACUUACUAGUUCACAUGUCAAAGUAAGUAACAUUAUUUAGUUAUAAGAAGAAAAGAAUAAGGUGCAAGUAAAUUUGACGUACUUUUAAGUUUCGCAAACAUGAUCUAUACUACAAACCAGAACCCUAUAGCUUGCGGCUUGCCUACCAUUUUCAACUUCAUUCACCAAAAGAAAUUUUGAUCAAUCAAACACCCUUUAGUUCUUGUUUCUCCUGCAAAUUUUUUCUUUCCAAAGUAGCUCCAUAACCUCCUAAAUCCAAAAAGUAAAUUCAUUUACAAAAAGUUGCAUGCAGAAAACAAAUGCUAAAUAGCCUGUAAUGACGAGAAAGAUUUACUAUUGGCAUCAAUUUUCCGGCUAAAACACCUCCUUCUUGCUCAUCAUCUUUCUUGUUCUCCUCAAGAUCGCCACCCCUCAUUAGAUAUCGGCUUCGAUCGGUAGUCAUC
rnacentral:lncRNA from 1 species